GACGUAGGGGGCAAGCGUUAUCCGGAAUUAUUGGGCGUAAAGAGUACGUAGGCGGUUUCUUAAGCGCAGGGUUUAAGGCUAUAGCUUAACUAUAGUUCGCCCUGUGAACUGGGAGACUUGAGUAUCGGAGAGGAAAGCGGAAUUCCUAGUGUAGCGGUGAAAUGCGUAGAUAUUAGGAGGAACACCAGUGGCGAAGGCGGCUUUCUGGACGAAAACUGACGCUGAGGUACGAAAGCGUGGGGAGCAAACAGG
rnacentral:rRNA from 1 species